UAGUAGUAGUUGGGUUCUUGAAAAUUAAAGAUUCUGGCGGUAUUUUAGUCUAUUUAGAGGAACCUGUCCUGUAAUCGAUGAUCCACGAUUUUAGGUACUUAUUUUCUAAGUUUGCAUAUCGCCGUGGGUUGAAUAUUUUUACGAAAAAGAAAUGUUCAAUAAUUUUUGUAAGAAAAAAAUUCAGGUCAAGAUGUAGCCGAUAGAUAAGAAGAGAUGGGUUACAAUAAAUUUAUUUAUAACGGAAUGGUAGAUUAAAUUUUAUUGUGAAGGCGGAUUUAAGGGUAAU
rnacentral:rRNA from 1 species